GAUAUUUGUCAUUUGAAGUGACUUUUCUGUACCUGAGAUUAGCAAGAUUAGGGAUAAAAUCCCAAGAAAUUCGCCAAAUAGUUAUUGCAAUUUUUUAGGGUAGCUAUAGGCUCCAAAAUUUCCUAUAAAAUUCUUUAGUUUCGGUCUGUAAUAAAUUAGUAGGAUUCAAAAUAGCAUCUUGUAAUAGUUUAUAGGCACUGCAUACUGAAAACUCGUCGGAUAAUUCUCCUUUCCAAACUUGAGUAUCCUCGUGAUCAGUCUCUGCAAGAGGGAUCUGUAGAAUUUUCUAAGCAAUUUUCGUUUGAAAGCUAUCUUCCCAGAUAGAAAUGUUGUCUCCCCUGCCCACUCUCCAGCGCAUCCCUUUUUGGAGAAGUCCCUUUGCUGCCCAAAUACUCUUCCAAGUAAGUGAAGGUUUGAAGGCCAGAACACGAUCACCACUCUCCCAAUCGUAUGAAUAAGAGUAGCCUGAAGACGUUAAUUGCAACUAAGAAACAAACAAAGACUAAAGAUAAGAAAACCUAAAACUCAUGCUAGAGGCGGCAGACAAUAUCGUGCUAGGGUAGCAGACUUUCAUAAUUAAGUUACUACAUUGGCAUUUAGAUAUAAUAAUGGUAUAUAAUUUAGAAUUAUUAGUUAAAAUUUGAUGUAA